rfam:Myotis brandtii contig306988, whole genome shotgun sequence.
UGGCUCAGUGGAUAGAGCAUCAGCCUGUGGACUGAAGGGUCCCGGGUUCGAUUCCCGG